UCAAACUUGGUCAUUUAGAGGAAGUAAAAGUCGUAACAAGGUUUCCGUAGGUGAACCUGCGGAAGGAUCAUUAACGAAGCCAUUUUUUUUUUAAAUAACUGGCAUCAUUUUUUCAUUCUUCAAUUCUGUGAACCUUUAUAAAUUUUGCUUUGGGUUGAGAGCCUAAGUUCUUGCCCAAAUUUUUAACAUUCUUUUAUUUUGAGAAAAAACAAAAAUGUCUGAACAAAUAACAAAAUAAUUAAAAAUCAAAACUUUCAACAACGGAUCUCUUGGUUCUCGCAUCGAUGAAGAACGCAGC
rnacentral:misc_RNA from 1 species